rnacentral:rRNA from 1 species
UGCUUUCGCGCCUAGCGUCAGUGUCGGCCAGCAACCCGCCUUCGCCGCAGGUGUUCCUCUCGAUAUCUACGCAUUUCACCGCUACACCGAGAAUUCCAGUUGCCCCUUCCGCACUCUAGCCCUGCAGUAUCACUUGACCGCUCGGAGUUAAGCCCCGAGAUUUCACAAGUGACUUGCAGUGGCCGCCUACGCGCCCUUUACGCCCAGUAAAUC